rnacentral:rRNA from 1 species
UACGUAGGGUGCAAGCGUUAAUCGGAAUUACUGGGCGUAAAGCGUGCGCAGGCGGUUUUGUAAGUCUGUCGUGAAAUCCCCCGGGCUCAACCUGGGAAUUGCGAUGGAGACUGCAAGGCUAGAAUCUGGCAGAGGGGGGGUAGAAUUCCACGUGUAGCAGUGAAAUGCGUAGAGAUGUGGAGGAACACCGAUGGCGAAGGCAGCCCCCUGGGUCAAGAUUGAC